rnacentral:tRNA from 1 species
AUAGCAUAGUAGUAAUGCAUUCGCUUUGUAAGCGAAAGGUUGUAAGUUCAAUCCUAUU